rnacentral:rRNA from 1 species
GAUGAACGCUGGCGGCGUGCCUAAUACAUGCAAGUCGAGCGAACGGACGAGAAGCUUGCUUCUCUGAUGUUAGCGGCGGACGGGUGAGUAACACGUGGAUAACCUACCUAUAAGACUGGGAUAACUUCGGGAAACCGGAGCUAAUACCGGAUGAUAUUUUGAACCGCAUGGUUCAAAAGUGAAAGACAGUCUUGCUGUCACUUAUAGAUGGAUCCGCGCUGCAUUAGCUAGUUGGUAAGGUAACGGCUUACCAAGGCAACGAUGCAUAGCCGACCUGAGAGGGUGAUCGGCCACACUGGAACUGAGACACGGUCCAGACUCCUACGGGAGGCAGCAGUAGGGAAUCUUCCGCAAUGGGCGAAAGCCUGACGGAGCAACGCCGCGUGAGUGAUGAAGGUCUUCGGAUCGUAAAACUCUGUUAUUAGGGAAGAACAUAUGUGUAAGUAACUGUGCACAUCGUGACGGUACCUAAUCAGAAAGCCACGGCUAACUACGUG